rnacentral:misc_RNA from 1 species
GAAUUCACAGAUGCAAGCUUGGGUCUCAUCAGGUGGUUCUGAAAUGGUUUCCCAUACCUUGACUAGACAUCAAGAAAUUCUACAAGAUCUUACGCAGGAGUUUUAUCGUCUUCGCUCCAGCCUCCGAGCCAAGCAAGAACAUGCUUCACUUUUAGAUGACUUCAGGGAGUUUGAUCGUUCAAGACUUGAACUGGAAGAUGGUUUGGGAACUGCAGAACAAACUCUUCUAAAGGAGCAUGCAUCUGUUAGCCGUAGCACAGGACAGAUGGAUAAUGUGAUU